CCGUAAACCUAAAUGACUAUCUAACAAAGCUAUUCGCCAGAGUACUACAAGCAACAGCUCAAAACUCAAAGGACUUGGCGGUGCUUUAUACCCCCCUAGAGGAGCCUGUUCUAUAAUCGAUAAACCCCGAUAAACCUCACCACCCCUUGCUAAUUCAACCUAUAUACCGCCAUCCUCAGCAAACCCUGUCAAGGUAACAAAGUAAGCAAGAGAAUAGAACAUUAAAACGUUAGGUCAAGGUGUAGUCUAUGGGGUGGGAAGAAAUGGGCUACAUUUUCUACCUACCACAGAACAAUGAACGCCAGCCCAAAUGAAACAAUCGGCGAAAGGCGGAUUUAGUAGUAAAUUAAGAAUAGAGAGCUUAAUUGAAUAGGGCAAUGAAGC
rnacentral:rRNA from 1 species